AGCUUGUUCAGAGGAGCUCAGCUCUGGGGGAGAGCUCAAAGCCGACACCUAUUGAGUUGCAGUUAAAAUGAGGGCGAAAAAGGCUUUUGUUUCAGUUCUGCAGAUGGUCUGGGAGUUUGUGUUUCUUAGCAAGAAUUUUCUAGACGUUUUGGCUUGAACCAUCUGAAAAACUGCCUCAAGCUUUUGCAUGGUUCCCACUGGGUGGGCUGGGUUGGGAGGGGCUGUCGUGCAUGGUCCGGGAAAGCUGGAGAAGGCUGUUCCUUCACCCCGAGCCUUGGAUUUCUUAUCUGUGAAAUGGGAGGCUGCAAUGAUGAAUGGCAAAGUACCUUUUUUUUUCAGCUCUGAAAGUCUAGGAUAUUUUGCCACUGGAAGACCAGCAGACAAUGUCAUGACAACUCAAGAGGAUACAACAGGGCUGCAUCAAAAGACAAGUCUUUGGACCAUGUCAAGACCUGGAGCGAAGAAGGUUUCAGUAUCAACCUGACUUCUUUUGGAAGGAUCCCUUGGCCUCACGCUGGAGUGGGCACCUGCCCUAGCCCACAGAGCUGGAUUUCUCCCUUUCUUCAAU
rnacentral:lncRNA from 1 species